rnacentral:lncRNA from 1 species
AGCCAGAGCCUUAAAAACUUGUUAAAAGCUCUCCCAGUGUUCCAAGGUAGAAAAAACUUUUACGAGAAGUAUUCUGAUCCAGUUUCACUGCUGAUCAGCAAGGCAUUUUGUGUUACUGCGCUGGUGGCUGAACUUGUUUUAAAAUACACAUCUCUAAAAGCCCAGC